rnacentral:rRNA from 1 species
ACGGGUGAGUAACGCGUGGGAAUCUACCUUUUGCUACGGAAUAACGCAGGGAAACUUGUGCUAAUACCGUAUGUGUCCUUCGGGAGAAAGAUUUAUCGGCAAGAGAUGAGCCCGCGUUGGAUUAGCUAGUUGGUGGGGUAAAGGCCUACCAAGGCGACGAUCCAUAGCUGGUCUGAGAGGAUGAUCAGCCACAUUGGGACUGAGACACGGCCCAAACUCCUACGGGAGGCAGCAGUGGGGAAUAUUGGACAAUGGGCGCAAGCCUGAUCCAGCCAUGCCGCGUGAGUGAUGAAGGCCCUAGGGUUGUAAAGCUCUUUCACCGGAGAAGAUAAUGACGGUAUCCGGAGAAGAAGCCCCGGCUAACUUCGUGCCAGCAGCCGCGGUAAUACGAAGGGGGCUAGCGUUGUUCGGAAUUACUGGGCGUAAAGCGCACGUAGGCGGAUCGAUCAGUCAGGGGUGAAAUCCCAGGGCUCAACCCUGGAACUGCCUUUGAUACUGUCGAUCUGGAGUAUGGAAGAGGUGAGUG